AGUUUUUAUCCUUCCGAAAUGUUUUCGGAAAACGUGUUUUGGUAAAACCCUUAUGCAUCGAGAUUUGUUUACGGGGUUUUGAUAAGAUUUAUCGUUUCCCUUCUUGUUUACAGGGAGGAAUCGCGAGCUUGUUAUAGUGCUCUUCCUGUGGCGGAAGGUCGCGACUAAGUUUUCGAUUUUGUUGAAAACCACGACGUUUGCGUAAGCGUUGGC
rnacentral:lncRNA from 1 species